CUGAACACCUUUGGUAGAUGGUC
rnacentral:piRNA from 1 species